rnacentral:rRNA from 1 species
AGCGAACGCUGGCGGCAGGCCUAACACAUGCAAGUCGAACGAACUCUUCGGAGUUAGUGGCGGACGGGUGAGUAACACGUGGGAACGUGCCUUUAGGUUCGGAAUAACUCAGGGAAACUUGUGCUAAUACCGAAUGUGCCCUUCGGGGGAAAGAUUUAUCGCCUUUAGAGCGGCCCGCGUCUGAUUAGCUUGUUGGUGGGGUAAUGGCCCACCAAGGCGACGAUCAGUAGCUGGUCUGAGAGGAUGACCAGCCACAUUGGGACUGAGACACGGCCAAACUCCUACGGGAGGCAGCAGUGGGGAAUCUUGCGCAAUGGGCGAAAGCCUGACGCAGCCAUGCCGCGUGGAUGAUGAAGGUCUUAGGAUUGUAAAAUCCUUUCACCGGUGAAGAUAAUGACUGUAGCCGGAGAAGAAGCCCCGGCUAACUUCGUGCCAGCAGCCGCCGCGGUAA